rnacentral:rRNA from 1 species
GAGUAUGAGUAGUGGAGGUAGAGCACUGAAUGGGCUAGGGGGCAUAGCGCUUACCGAACCUUAUCAAACUCCGAAUGCCACAUACUUUGAGCUCGGCAGUCAGACUACGAAUGAUAAGAUCCGUGGUCAAAAGGGAAACAGCCCAGAUCGUCAGCUAAGGUCCCAAAGUGGAAGUUAAGUGGGAAAGGAUGUGAGAUUUCUAAGACAACUAGGAUGUUGGCUUAGAAGCAGCCAUUCAUUAAAAGAGUGCGUAAUAGCUCACUAGUCGAGAGAUCUUGCGCCGAAAAUGUAACGGGGCUAAACUUACCACCGAAGCUACGGGCUUGAACUUAUGUUCAAGCGGUAGGAGAGCGUCGUAACCGGGCUGAAGUCGUACCGUAAGGAGCGGUGGACUGGUUACGAGUGAGAAUGUUGGCAUCAGUAGCGAGAUGUGGGUGAGAAUCCCACAGGCCGAACACCUAAGGUUUCCUCAGGAAGGUUCGUCCGCUGAGGGUUAGUCGGGACCUAAGCCGAGGCCGAAAGGCGUAGGUGAUGGACAACUGGUUGAUAUUCCAGUACCACUACCAUCGUUAUUAUCGAUGGCGUGACGCAGGAGGAUAGUGUGUGCUAGCUAUUGGAUGCUAGUCUAAGCGUUUAGGCA